rnacentral:rRNA from 1 species
GAUGAACGCUGGCGGCGUGCUUAACACAUGCAAGUCGAACGGAAAGGCUCCUGCUUGCAGGGGUACUCGAGUGGCGAACGGGGGCGUAACACGUGGGUGAUCUGCCCUGCACUUCGGGAUAAGCCUGGGAAACUGGGCCUAAUACCGGAUAGGAUGAUGGCUUGGAUGCCAUUGUGGAAAGCUUUUUCGGUGUGGGAUGAGCUCGCGGCCUAUCCGCUUGUUGGUGGGGUAAUGGCCUACGCAGGCGUCGACGGGUAGCCGGCCUGAGAGGGUGUACGGCCACCUUAGGCCUGAGAGACGGACCAGACUCCUACGGGAGGCAGCAGUGGGGAAUAUUACACAAUGGGAGCAAGCCUGAUGCAGCGACGCCGGGUGGGGGAUGACGGCCUUCUGGUUGUAAACUCCUUUCGCUAGAGACGAAGCGCAAGUGACGGUACCUAGAGAAGAAGCACCGGCUAACUACGUG